rnacentral:rRNA from 1 species
AACGAACGCUGGCGGCAGGCUUAACACAUGCAAGUCGAGCGCCCCGCAAGGGGAGCGGCAGACGGGUGAGUAACGCGUGGGAAUCUACCCAUCUCUACGGGAUAACGCAUGGAAACGUGUGCUAAUACCGUAUACGUCCUUCGGGAGAAAGAUUUAUCGGAGAUGGAUGAGCCCGCGUUGGAUUAGCUAGUUGGUGGGGUAAAGGCCUACCAAGGCGACGAUCCAUAGCUGGUCUGAGAGGAUGAUCAGCCACACUGGGACUGAGACACGGCCCAGACUCCUACGGGAGGCAGCAGUGGGGAAUAUUGGACAAUGGGCGCAAGCUUGAUCCAGCCAUGCCGCGUGAGUGAUGAAGGCCCAAGGGUUGUAAAGCUCUUUCACCGGUGAAGAUAAUGACGGUAACCGGAGAAGAAGCCCCGGCUAACUUCGUGCCAGCCGCCGCCGUAACAC